UACGUAGGGUGCGAGCGUUACUCGGGAUUACUGGGCGUAAAGCGUGCGCAGGCGGUUUUGUAAGUCUGACGUGAAAUCCCCGGGCUUAACCUGGGAAUUGCGUUGGAGACUGCAAGGCUGGAGUCUGGCAGAGGGGGGUAGAAUUCCACGUGUAGCAGUGAAAUGCGUAGAGAUGUGGAGGAACACCGAUGGCGAAGGCAGCCCCCUGGGUCAAGACUGACGCUCAUGCACGAAAGCGUGGGGAGCAAACAGG
rnacentral:rRNA from 1 species